rnacentral:lncRNA from 1 species
AGGUUUACUAUCUGUUCCCGCCUCUUCGAAGAAGACGGGAUAUCUCUACAUUAUUCCUUCUCUUUAUCGCCAAGCGAUUGGGAGGAGGUCUCUAGGUACCCGUUCAGGUACUUGGAGUUCCGGUUGCUCCAUACAGUAGCACUAUGUUGCUUUAUGGUUGCUCCCGUGAUUUAAUGUUGAGGUGUCUCCCAGGUUUGUCUUCCAUGCCCUCCUACCAAGGGACUCCAUGGAUCUCAACUUGGGUAGCGAUCCUGACUCAGCCAAAUAGUUAGCUUGAGUCGCUUCGCCUAUUCGACGAAGUCAGACGGAGGAAAGCGGCGUAUCCUGUUGGGUUUAGCCAAGUUACCGAAUUUUGGUAUGCACUGCGGAACUCUAGUAUAGUUCCUAAAUCCAUCAAGUUAUCCGAGCCAAAAACUGGCCGGUCAGACGUCAUAGUCUUUGCCAUGCAACCUGACUCUUAAGAAAC